AUACUUACCUGACGCGAGAGGCACCUUGAUCAACUAGGAGGUCCUCUCAGGAUGAGGCCCUUUCAUUGCACUUCGACUGGGUUGACUCCUGCGAUUACCCCUAAUGUGGGUAACUCGAGCGUAUAAUUUCUGGUAGUGGGGACCUGCGUUCGCGCUUGUCCCCU
rnacentral:snRNA from 2 species